AGGGUGACAGCCCCGUACACAAAAGCGCAUGUGCUGUGAGCUCGAUGAGUAGGGCGGGACACGUGGUAUCCUGUCUGAAUAUGGGGGGACCAUCCUCCAAGGCUAAAUACUCCUGACUGACCGAUAGUGAACCAGUACCGUGAGGGAAAGGCGAAAAGAACCCCGGCGAGGGGAGUGAAAAAGAACCUGAAACCGUGUACGUACAAGCAGUGGGAGCACAGGUUUACCUGUGUGACUGCGUACCUUUUGUAUAAUGGGUCAGCGACUUAUAUUCUGUAGCAAGGUUAACCGUAUAGGGGAGCCGAAGGGAAACCGAGUCUUAACCGGGCGUUAAGUUGCAGGGUAUAGACCCGAAACCCGGUGAUCUAGCCAUGGGCAGGUUGAAGGUUGGGUAACACUAACUGGAGGACCGAACCGACUAAUGUUGAAAAAUUAGCGGAUGACCUGUGGCUGGGGGUGAAAGGCCAAUCAAACCGGGAGAUAGCUGGUUCUCCCCGAAAGCUAUUUAGGUAGCGCCUCGUGAAUUCAUCUCCGGGGGUAGAGCACUGUUUCGGCUAGGGGGCCAUCCCGGCUUACCAACCCGAUGCAAACUGCGAAUACCGGAGAAUGUUAUCACGGGAGACACACGGCGGGUGCUAACGUCCGUCGUGAAGAGGGAAACAACCCAGACCGCCAGCUAAGGUCCCAAAGUCAUGGUUAAGUGGGAAACGAUGUGGGAAGGCCCAGACAGCCAGGAUGUUGGCUUAGAAGCAGCCAUCAUUUAAAGAAAGCGUAAUAGCUCACUGGUCGAGUCGGCCUGCGCGGAAGAUGUAACGGGGCUAAACCAU
rnacentral:rRNA from 1 species